rnacentral:rRNA from 1 species
CCAGAGAACUUAGCAGAGAUGCUUGGUGCCUUCGGGAACUCUGAGACAGGUGCUGCAUGGCUGUCGUCAGCUCGUGUUGUGAAAUGUUGGGUUAAGUCCCGCAACGAGCGCAACCCUUAUCCUUUGUUGCCAGCGGUUCGGCCGGGAACUCAAAGGAGACUGCCGGUGAUAAACCGGAGGAAGGUGGGGAUGACGUCAAGUCAUCAUGGCCCUUACGGCCAGGGCUACACACGUGCUACAAUGGCGCAUACAAAGAGAAGCGACCUCGCGAGAGCAAGCGGACCUCAUAAAGUGCGUCGUAGUCCGGAUUGGAGUCUGCAACUCGACUCCAUGAAGUCGGAAUCGCUAGUAAUCGUAGAUCAGAAUGCUACGGUGAAUACGUUCCCGGGCCUUGUACACACCGCCCGUCACACCAUGGGAGUGGGUUGCAAAAGAAGUAGGUAGCUUAACCUUCAGGAGGGCGCUUACCACUUUGUGAUUCAUGACUGGGGUGAAGUCGUAACAAGGUAAGCGUAGCGAG